AAGAAUCGGGCCCCGGAUCUUCAGAGAUCGCGACGAUAGUAGCUUCAGUAAAGUCAGUUGGAAGAUCGUCGCUCUGUUCAAGAUAACGCAGGAAUCCCUCAAAUAUGCUAAUACAGGCGCGACACUCGUGUAAGAUACUGCGGGUGGCUAAUAAUACAUUACAAACCGAGCAGUAUUCUUGGCAGUCACCGAACCCGAUAUGUAUGUAGUAGCGCAGUUUGUAUGUGUAAAGCAAGUGGGUCUCGGGGGGAGCUUGGAGGUAGCAAUUAUCGCACAAGUAAUAAGUUUUAUCAAUACGAUGUUGAUAGAACAAUGACGCGGUGCAGCAUGCAGUGCUUAUCCAAUCAAAAUAGCCGCGCGUGAUAGGCACCGGCUCGACCAAUCCGGGAGACGAAUAGUUAAUAGAAUUAGUAGGGCACAUUUUCACGGAACAUUCCGAACGCGAAUGGGAAUUUAUUAUUAUUAGAAAUGUGCAAGUUGUUAUCCUACCUUUAGGUGGGUCUCUUGAUUGGCUGUCAGCUUGGUCGGCUCAGGAGGCGUCGUGUUGUGGCUACCCCUCAGUGUAGACCCUUCUGUGAUUGAACGCAGGAUACGGUCUUCACAGUUAUGGUGAACUCGCGUGAUAUACGUUGAACGUGAUUUAAGGAAUGUUGAAAUUGAAUAACGAAUUCGAGUCACUGAAUCUAUCAGUUUAUUAUAAAAGUAAAAUUAUUGGUUACAAUUACACUUAGGGUUAAAUUAGAAUAUAAAGGUUAAGUAGCUAAACAACUAAAGUAAUUAUUUAAGACUUGAAUUAGAAUUAGAAGUAGAAUUAGAUUUAGAAUGGAAUUGGAAUUUGAACUAAAAAAGUGAACCGCUCGCGAGAACUGACUACUUCUAACUGCGCGCCUUAUUCUAAGACAUGGCGUGGGGACGCCGCUUAAGAUAUCCCCACUCCCAUACGCGGGGUCGCGUUACAUUGGCCUAUUCGAGGGUGGCGUCUGGUGUCAUUGGCCUAGUUUACAUCGUGCAUUUGAUACGCGUAUCAAAUAGUAAAUAACUAGUGAAUGUGUUUAAUCAUUGGCUGAUCAGCUUAAAUUCACUACUUGAUACGCGUAUCAAAUGCACGAUGUAAACUAGGCCAUUGUGCGUGUCAUGCCUGGCGCAUUUAAGUGAUUUUACUUGUUAAUGGGAGGAAAAAAAAUGUCCAUAAAUUUGGACAAAUAGUUAGGACAUGACAAAACACAUUCACUAGUUAUUUACUAUUUGAUACGCGUACCAAGUGCUCGGUGUAAACUAGGUCUAUGAAUCCCGUCCUAUAUAUCGAUGAUAUCGGCCUACGACUACGACACCUACGUCUCGUUCUCUGCCUUCGGCCUAAGUUAAGUUGGUUCUACUGAAAUACCAAUUUUUCUCACUUCUACUCUUUGAGUAUAUAUACAUGGGGUGCUUUCCAUUUAGUAACACAAGUCGACACCAUCGACAUAUAGAAUGGACUGAGCAUUGCAAUAGGUUAGCGCGCGUCUGCUUUAGAGUGAGAGGUACUACACCUGAGGCCUAUGUUUGUCUCUUUUGCAAGCUUCUGAUUUGUUAUUUCGUCCCCCUCCAUUCACGGAGGAGGACGAAAUAACAAAUCAGAAGCUUGCAAGAGAGACAAACAUAGGCCUCAGGUGUAGUACCUUUCACUUCAAAGCAGGCGCGCGCUUGCCCAUCGCAAUUGUAACGUCCCAGCGUCCGGAAAAUUUUGUCCGAACGUUUUCUCGCGAAACUUGUCCAGAUGCAUGCGCGCUGAGUUACCUUACUCAGUAAUACGUUUCUAUGGCUCAUUCUUACUUUCGUUUAAGUCGUCAUUAUAUAAUAAUAAUAAUUCAAAUAUUAAGCACUUAAUCGUACUUUAAAAUUACGUACAUAUAUAUAUCAAAAUCAUAUAUUACAUAUAUGUAUACUUUAAGUUAUCUGGCAUUAUUUUAACUCUCUUAUCGAUACGAACGCAUAGGCAACCGGAUCGUUUAAACUUCUAAAUUCUUACUCUCGUAUUGCUUAUGGGUUCGUCGAGGAUUAAUUAACUGUAAGAUAAAUAAGAACCGGAUAUUUGUAAAGGCCCUUGCACGUGCACUGUCGGAUGAUUAAAGAAAUGAUAUCUCGUCAACUGAAUCCUCAAAGAUUCAAACGAAACGGUUCUAAAACAAAAUCUGCUAUUAUCAACACGACGGCGACAGGAUGUCGCGCCUAAAGAAAUACAAUACGAAAUUAAUCCGCGUAAUAUCCGGACUGCGUGUCGGAAGAUCAGGUGAACCAUAGCUAGGCAUUUAACAUAAACAGUUCGUAAGAUAUAUCCAUUUCACGUUGGCGACGAGAUGUCGCGCCCAAGAAAUAAUUAAGAUUGAUAAACCGGCGAGAUAUUUGGUAGUGAAAGCGAUCCUAGCCGAAAAAUAUCCCGGAUCAAAUGAUCGACGAAAUCCUAGACGAGAUAUCUCCGAUAAACAUCCGCACACGUGCAAACGGUCUCACGCGCCUUAUCAGCGACCCCCGAAACUUGGUUCCCGCCAAGCCGCCGAAUCACUCCCACUCUUACCGACUCUUGCGCUUCGCGCGUGUUCCCUACUCCGGAGCGCUAGCGGCCGCUGAGCGCAGCGCCGAUUUUGCUCGAUCCCUUUGUCCGCGCCCUAUUUAAAUCCGCGCACAGACGCCGGAUCAUUCAUUCUCUCAUUAUUUUUCGACACUCGUUCAGUACUAAUUCAGCGAUUAAGUCAGUCAUUAGUUCUCGGUCACGCGUCACUCUUCAAUCUUCAAGUUAUCUGCAACCUCUCUCGUACUUCGCGAUCAACUCAUUGUUAAUUAAGUUAACCAGUGCGUGCUCCGACAGACUGCUAUCACCAACAUAUCUCUGCGACCAUCUUCAACUGUCAACCCACAUCAACCAUUUAAUUAUUAGUGGACCAAACUAUUGCUUCAAACCAUAUUAUAACUCGUACAACCCUCUCCCCUCCCUUGUGCCGCGAUGAAUUCUACAACACAUAAAGUGAGUAGGCUCAAUGAUUGAAAUAUCGUCGGUGAAAUUAGAAAAGCCGGUAUAUUCGUGCUCAACGAAACGUAGAUCCCGCUAGCGAGCGUUCCAUCGCUUGCCAGCGAUAUAAGAACAAAACCGUAGAUUCCGCUAGCGAGCGUUCUAUCGCUUGCCAGCGAUAUAAGAACAAAAACCGUAGAUUCCGCUAGCGAGCGUUCUAUCGCUUGCCAGCGAUAUAAGUUAGUCAAUCAUUCACAAGCACGAAUAUACUCGACGGCCCUAAUUUCCCUUGACGCAGAAAGAUGCUUAACUAAGCGUUCACUCGCUUAACCAAGCGUUUAUUUGUAGACCAUCAAGAAAAAUCGCCACCGCGCUG
rnacentral:lncRNA from 1 species